UACGUAGGCGGUCUGAUAAGUCAGAUGUAAAAGGCAAUGGCUCAACCAUUGUAAGCAUUUGAAACUGUCAGACUUGAGUACAGGAGAGGUAAGUGGAAUUCCUAGUGUAGCGGUGAAAUGCGUAGAUAUUAGGAGGAACACCAGUGGCGAAGGCGACUUACUGGACUGUAACUGACGCUGAGGUACGAAAGCGUGGGGAGCGAACAGGAUUAGAUACCCUGGUAGUCC
rnacentral:rRNA from 1 species